GGGCAGGAUGCAGCUUUCACCGCCAUUCUCGACACCUUGGACAUCUUCCUGGAGAUCGUCACCAACCCUGAUGGCUUUGCCUUCACGCACAGCACGAAUCGCAUGUGGCGCAAGACUCGGUCCCACACAGCAGGCUCCCUCUGUAUUGGCGUGGACCCCAACAGGAACUGGGACGCCGGCUUUGGGUGUAAGGCCCAGAGUGUCUUGGGAGCAAGGAUGGGAUGGCCUCGAAUGGCUCCUCACCACUGCUCUUGCUCCCCGCCUCUCUCCUGCCCCUGCAGCGAGGGGAGGGUUGGGGGUGGCAGCUCUGCCUCUGAGGGCUCUUGGGGAUGGAGGCUGUGCUCUGAGAGUUGGUUGUUACUCGCCUGCAAAAGGCAAGUUGCUUGCAAAUGGGCUAAGGUCUGAAAUCCUACCUAGGGGGCUUCUAGCUUAACCUCAAGUCCUCCCUCCUUGGCCAUGUCUCUGUGAGAACUGGUCUCCACUGAGGAGCCCGUCUUCCCUCCCUGGGUGUGUCCAUCAGCUCUGCCCAAACCAGGCUGGGAGGGCAGCUCCCCCAGGUUAUAGAAGGCCUUUGGGCUUUCCUGAAUCCAGGGGAGGGAGUGAGCCCUUCCAUACCACCUCA
rnacentral:sRNA from 1 species